CAAUAGCGUAUAUUUAAGUUGUUGCAGUUAAAAAGCUCGUAGUUGGAUUUCGGGUGGGACGCAGCGGUCUCGCAUUGCGUUUGUACUGCUGCAGCCCUCCUUCUUGCCGGGGGCGGCCUCUCGGACUUCACUGUCUGGGGGUCAGAAUCGGCGAUGUUAUUUUGAGUAAAUUAGAGUGUUCAAAGCAAGCUUACGCUCUGAAUAUAAUAGCAUGGGAUAACACGACAGGACUCUGGCCUAUCGUGUUGGUCUAUAGGACCAGAGUAAUGAUUAAGAGGGACAGUCGGGGGCAUUCGUAUUCCGUUGUCAGAGGUGAAAUUCUUGGAUUUACGGAAGACGAACAUCUGCGAAAGCAUUUGCCAAGGAUGUUUUCAUUGA
rnacentral:rRNA from 1 species